GAUAGGGCACAAAACAAGCCUCAAAAAAUUCAAAUAAAUUGAAAUCAUGUCAAACAAUUUCUUAGACCACAAUGGCUUGACACAAAAAACCAACCUCAAGGAAAAAAUUCAAAAACACUCAAGCUCAUGGAGAUUAAAUAGCAUGUUCUUAAACAAUGAAUGGGUUAGGAAUGAGAUCAAGGAAGAAAUCAAAAAGUUUCUGGACACAAAUGAAAAUGAGCACACAACUGUCCAAAACUAAUGGGACACAGUGAUGGCAGUCCUGAGAGAAUAGUUCAUAGUGAUACAGGCCUAC